AGCUGGGGGUACAGCAAGGUGCAGGGAGAGAACAGGUGAGGAGGACUUUGGAGGACCAGUGUUCUCAGACACCCACCCUACCCAGACCCACCGUGCCUGCUCACCUUCCUCAGUCUCCUGCCACCCUGGGACAGUCAGGCGGGUGUUCCCCGAAGUUAUUUCCAGGGUUCCUACUUACCCCUGAUGGGAGAAUGGUAAAGCGCAGCGGCCACGCAGGCCUGUCCGAGGGAAGCCAGUUUUCAGGAUCUCAAGUUGGCCUCUUUAUGGGUCUGAACUAAAGCCUUUGUUUGAGAUAGGGACUCACUCUAGCUCAUUCCGGUCUGAGGCUGACCUCACACUAAGUAGCUGAGCAUGACCUUGAACUCAGGAUCUUCCUGUCUCUUCCCCCCAGGUGCUAGGGUUAUAAGUAUGUAUUGUCCUCCCUCUGUUUUAGAGGAUGGAACCCAGAGCCAGUCCCUCUUCUCUUCUUGAGGAAAUUGAGGGUACAGAAUGUCACUUAGCCUUUGUGUGUGUGCUCUAUCACUGAGCUGUUGCUCUAGUCCUAGAACCUUGUUUAAAAUACAGACCCUGAAUGAAAUGCAAAAGACUGGGCAGUGGCUCAUGUCUUGUCGAACAUGGGCAAAAAGUUGGAACCCUGGCAGACCUUCAUACAGUCGACUCCCUGGAUCUACCAGAUUCUUACUGCUUCUGUGAAAUAUACUGACAGAUGCCCACAAAACACUGGGAAAGUAGGAUACUGGCGGGGCUCUGCACUUGAGCAAGUCACAAGCUGGGGAGCCACAUUCUUCCUUGGUCUGGGCUUCAGUUCCUGCCUCCAGGUUCCUGCCUUGAGCUUCUGCACCCUGACCCCGACUUCCUCAUGACGGACUAUGAUGUGGAAGUGUAAGUCAGAUAAACUCAUUCCUCUCCAACUUACUUUUAGCCAUAGUAACUUACCACAGCAAUAGAAAGCAAGCUAGGAUAUCCACAGUCACUGUGCUGUGAGGUUCCGGCAUGAUUACAUUUGAUUAUAAUAGGACAGAGCAUUUUCUAUAAAAAAUGUGAGUAGAGAGUAGUCUUGCUAAAGGUGAUGCUUAACCAACCAAGUGCAGGUGCUGCAGCCAUGGAGACGGUUACAGUACUCUUCCAGCCAUGCGCACCUGUCAAACGUCCCAGGUGGGCUUGGGAUGCAGCGCACCUGGUAGAGUAAUUGCCUAGCAUUUGAAAAGUGUUGUGUUUGCUACCAAGCACCACACAAAACAAAUGUGGGGUCACCUGCCUGUAAUCUCAGCAACCAAGGGAAGGAGGAGAAAUUCAAGAUUACCCUUGGUUAAAUAUCGGGUUUGAGGUCAGCUAGAGCUAUAGGAAAGCCUGUCACAAAACUAAACAACAUACACACGCACACACACACAUAUAUACAUAUACACAAACACAUAUAUAUAUACACACACAUACAUAUACAUACAUACACAAUAUAUACAUACACAUACACAUACAUACUCACAUAUACAUACACACAUACACAAUAUAUACACACAUAUAACACAAUAUAUACACACAUAUAUACAUAUAUGUAUAUAUACACACACACAUAUAUAUACACAUGUAUAUACACAUACAAACACACAUAUAUACACACAUAUACACAUGUAUACAUACAUACAUAACACACACAUAUAUACACACAUAUACACAUGUAUACACACAUAUACAUACAGACAAAUAUACACAUAUAUACACACAUACACACAUGUGUAUACACACAUAUACAUACAGACAAAUAUACACAUAUAUACACACACACAUACACACAUAUGUCAUGAAGAACGAGUCUUCUGCCUCAUUGAACCUGUCUCAGAAGUCGAUUAAGGGGCUAGUGGAGCACUUGCUCAGCAUGUGUGGGGCCCUAAGUUCCAUACCCAGUGUGGUCAGAAAACAACAAACUAGAGAAAACAAUAUAAAAUGGGGACUUUGCAUUCAGAUUGACUUUUUUUUGGGGUGAGAGUCUGGUUUCACCUCAAAGAUUCUUAGCUGCUCCUCAGUCUUUUAGCUAAGAUCAAGCAAAAAACAAACCAAAAGGACUGGAGCUGGAACUGAGUUAAGGAAUAGUGAUUGUGAGAGAGACUGUCACAGUAGACUCCAACCAGGGUGGCAUCAGCCAAGCAAGUGGCGGGCCCUGCAUCCAUCAAAGUCCUCGAAUGGACUGGGUCCAGUGCACAGGCCUGUAAUCCAGUGCUGCCUGAGGCAGGAGGAUGGAGAGUUUGAGGCUAGCCUGGGUUGUACAGGGAGAUCCAGUUUCAACUCCCUGCUCUGAAGUAUGAAUUCAUACAUUUUAUGUUUCAAGAAAAAGUCAAUGGUUUGAAGAAUGCAUCAUUUUUAUGAUUCCCUCCUUUCAUUGACUUUCCCUGUUUUAAAAUUAAUUAAUUGAUUUAUACUAUUAUUUGUAGCAGUAGGAGGUUCUGAGACAGGGUCUUAUUACAUAUAGCCCAGGAUAGACUAGAAUUUGAUCUAUUCCUGCUUAAACCUCUUGAGUGCUAGGAUUACAGACUUGUAACCCAGGCUAGCUUUGAAUUCGUGGCAGUCCUAUGCCUCUGCCUCUCAGCUGCUGCUAUUACAUGCUUGCACCACUAUGCCCGUGCCACAGCAUGGCUCUUAGAGGUAUAAUUCACAGGCCAUCGCAAUCCCACAUUUCACACGUAUAAUUCAAUACAGUUACUGAGUUGUCCAACCAUAUACUUCCCUCUCUCUCCCUUUCUCUCUCCUGUGUGCGUGCGUGUGUGUUUAGAGAUAGCCUUAUUCUGUACCCUAAUCUGGCCUGGAACUCACUACAUAGCCCAGGCUAGCUUGAACUCAUGGCAAUCCUCCUGCCUCAGUUUCCUGAGAGCUGAUAUUUCAGAUGUGCGCUAUCAUGCCCUGCUUCUGAGCUUGCCCUUAGAUCGCCGUUUUCCUUUCUUGCCCCACUUGCUCACGGGUUGAUUCCCAGCUUUCAGAAUGACUACAAUAUAGGUAAAGCCAGGUCUGAGUUAUUUCUUCCCAAGGUGGGAGAGUCAUGGCUUAGCUACAGGAGGAUGGUGGGCUCUGUCUCACCUGCACAGAGAACCUAUGAAUGCUUCCCCCAGGUCACCAGAUCCAAUCCAUAUAGGUGUCUGGGUAGCUGGAUGUCACUCCACUUAAUCCCCUCGGACCCUUCCUCUUCACCCUCAGGGCUAAGACAGAGUUCCAACCCUCACUAGUGCUUACCCGGACAGUCUCAGCAACCCAUAUUCUACCUUCAAAAGGCAGGAUACUUUUUAAAAACAUUUUUUAAAGAGAUUUAUUUAUUCUAGGUAUAUGAGUACACUUUGGCUGUCUUCAGACACCAGAAGAGAGCAUCAGAUCCCAUUACAGAUGGUUGUGAGCCACCAUGUGGUUGCUGGGAAUUGAACUCAGGACCUCUGGAAGAACGGUCACUGCUAGUGCUCUUAACAACUGAGCCAUCUCUCCAGCCCCCUUUAAUGUUUUAAAAACUGAAAAUGUUAAAUGUAAAUAAAAACAGGAAAGAUCCCCAGAGCCUCCUAGAGCCAUCCGGUUCCAAAUCUUCUAUCACUGCCUGCCCUCUGCCCGCCUGGGUUAUUUUGAGAAGAAUCCGUUUAUCACAAGAUUCCAUCCAUUCUAGAAAUCUGAUCAUCUUUCUACAGCGGCAAAUGACCCUACAUCUCUUUCCUAUCCCAGGUCUCUAGCUCAGUAUGGAUUCUACCUCAAAGGUACCGGGAUUACAGGUACCGUAGGCCCAGCUUAUGUGGUACUGGGUAUCGAACCCAGGUCCUUGGACAUGCUAGACAAGCAUUUUACUAGCUGAGCCACACCCCCAGUCCACAUAAACACAUCGCAUGCCUGUGAUCAAGCUGCCUGUCAAAUUCUCUUUUAGGGUGAGGUCAAGUGCAGUGAUUGUGACUAAUGGUGGUGGUCGUCUACGUGUGCAGACCAACAGCCCAGUCUAAGAUGGUGCUUGUGACCCUCCCCACUGAACUGAACCUGACAGCUUGUGUCAAGCAAGCAGGGCGUGGCAGCAUGGAUGAUGCAUCAUCUCAGAUCACCUUACAGAACUGCCCUGGCUUCCAUCUUGGACUCCUCUCUUGCUCUGCGGGAAGCUGGCUGACAUGGUGAAAGCUAGCAUUUAGUGAAGUCCGUAUGGCUAGGGCAGUGAGGACUGAGGUCCUCUGCCUGAGCAGCUAGCUAUGAGAAUCAGUAGUCAAGCAGGUCCUCCCUUAGCUAGGACCCAGGCUGUGACCAUGACCCUGGCUGACAUAGCUACAGCUUAUAAGUGACUUGAACCACGGGUACCCAGAGGUGCCGCAGGCUGAUGAGCCUUUGUGAGGUGUUGUGCUUUGAGUAUGGAAUGCCCCCCAGAGGCUUGUGUAUUUGAAUACAUGGUUUCCAACUGGGGGUGCUAUCUGGGAGGGUUGGGGAACCUUUAGGAGGUAAUGCCUCCCUAGAUGAAGCAGGGCACUAGGAAGUGAGAUUAUAAGUUUUAUAGCCCUGCCCCAUUUCCUGUUCACUCUCUGCUUCUCGACUGUGGAGGUGGUGGGACCAGAUGCCUCUUCCUAGUGAUGCCAUGAUUUCCCUGCUAUAGUGGACUGUAUCCCCUCCAACUGUGGGCCCCCAAACCCUCUCUGCUUGCUCCUUCAGGUGUUUUAGUCACGACAAUGAGAAAGGGUGAAGUUAAUAUGCUCUGGGUAAUAUGUUACACAGCCAGCCUCUCUGAGCACUUAGGCGCCAUGAAGACGACGGGGUACCGUGCACCAUCCCUCUGGUGUCACAACAGUUGGACAAGUCAGGAAACUCCGUCCCAGCCAGGAAAUGGCAGAGGCAGAAAUCAUACACAGAUGGGCUUAUACAACCAAUCAGUCUUGCAGCUGUGUUAGGCCACGUGCCCGACGCUCAGUAGGCAUCCGGUGGUACAAAGAGCCUUCUGUAAACAGCCUCUUCCUCUGAGGCAGGAAAUGUGACAGACCAGCAAGCGGGAAGGCAAGGCAGGCUGUGAUGAGGAGAGCAGGCUGGAUCCUCUCGGUGGUUUACAACACCCACAGCACUGUGCAGUGGAUUCAGAAGGAUGGUAUUCAACCCCGGUGUCAGUGAAUUUGAGGUUUGGAGAGGGGCAGAUCUCUCUGAUGCUCCAACCCCUGUGUUCAUUGAGGCCAGAGGCAAUGUUUCUUACAGAAUGUGUCACUGACAGAACAAUGUCCUGGGAUAGAGCUGGCUUCCAAGCCUGAAGCUCACAGUGGCAACAUAAAGGGCUGGCUCUUCCUAAGUGGUGGGGGGAGACCCUGCACCCUUACCUCAUUCUCUGUCCUGGGAGGGACAUUUUCUAAUAAAUCUAUGCCGUUGACGACGACGCUCUUCUUUUCUCUGAUGGGGGCCUUAAAUACCACUUUUGAAGACUUCUUAUAGCCUUCCUUCAGAGACAUCAGCACGGGAUCUGGGAAGGCAAUGAAGACAGUGUCAUCCAACAGGCUGGACUGGAGAGUGAGGUAUCACUGUACUGAGCUUGCCAGCUGUGUGGGAGGGGAGGGGAGGGAGGGCACAUUCUGGACGGGAAUCGUGCAGAGGAAGCUGGCAAAGCCUGCAGCCCCUUGGGCUCUUCGGUGGCUCCUGCCUGCAGAGGUACCUCGGUUGACGCCUCCCAGCCAUUCAUCAGGGGUCAGCGCUGGCUCUGUGCCUGGCGUCAUGGGGUAAAUGUCCUCCUGGUAGGAAUCUGACUGCAUGGGGGAGAAGGAAGAGAAAAGAUAUCUGGAAACCGUUGGGAAAGCCCUGGCCAUCUAGCUAGGCACACUCCAGCAAUUCUACCUCUAAGUCAUUAAGUCAUUGUCUUAAUGACCUCUUGUGGAGAACUGCCUGCUUUCAGGCAAACCAACCAUCCCUACCUGAGAGUGUCCUCUGCCCUCUACCUCAGGUGGAGCCUGAAUAUUCUAGUCCCCGACACCUCCUUUAUCUGGGUUCAUUGUCAGGGCUUCAGGUUAGUAAGAUUCAGUAUGGGGUCCUUUGCAGCCCAACCCAGGCCCACUCACCCUCCGGGGCACAAUCAUGGAGAUGGGUUCAAUUAGGCCCUUGAGAGUCACGAGCUUGUAGAAGCGGAAGACCUCGCAAGCAGACACAUCCAACCCAUGCUUGGGCAUGACACCUGUGGAGAGACACAGGGCUCUGUGGGGGUCUCUGUCCCUGCUCACAGUCUGAUGUUCUCAGGCUGGCUGCAGUUUGGGUGCAAGGACCGAUCCAGAGGACAGAGGGUAGCCAUGAUGUCUUAGAGUCGGCCUCUGACUCAAGACAGUCACUUUGGGGGUGGGAGUGGGGCAGGCAAGGUCAUGGAUCCCAGUCUGGCCUCAAACUCAAGAUACAAAGUCAUACAAGGCUGCAGGGCCAAGCACCUUCUGGAAUGAACUGGCUUCCCUACGCCUCUUUGUCUCAGUCUGCAGAGAACAGGAAGGAGGGCGAAGCCAUUUCCCACCCCAGAGGUUUCAACCCAGCCCAAGAGACGGCUUGUUGUUGAUCUAGAGCUGGCCAGUACUUGUGUGUGGUGUCUGUGCUUCAUUGGCCAAACUGUCCUGAGCAGCUUUGCCUCCUGAGUAGAAAAGCUACUCUGAGGCAGGGGCUCAUGGUGCUAAGAGCUCAGCCUGGGCUUCCACGGACGGGAUUUGAACUGGGUCUCUGCUCCUUUUUCCACACAUGUACUUUUGGUUUGUUGGGCAGAAAUGGCCCUGUGUGAGGUCAUGGGAGACUGAGGCACAUAGAUGAUUGGCAUCUGCCUGGCAGUGUGCCAAGCACAGACAGAACACAUCUUCCCUGUAGUGUGAGUGAGGGAGGGUUCUAGGUCCUUCCGACUGGGAUGGAAGCUGUUCUUCCAAAGAGAAUUCUAGAACUCUCCCUUCCACCUAUCUCUCCUCCCUCUCUCUUUCUCUUCCUCUUUAUCGAGACUGGGUCUCACUAAAUAGCCCCCUGGACUGCCCUCAAACUCACAGUCUUCUGUUCCUCUCUCUGGGUGCUGGGAUCCACAGGAAAAUGGUGGAGCUCUUGCCUGCCUGCUGCAUCUGGGGCUAUCGUCCUGGUUUCAGAGCCACUGAACCUCCUCCUACCAUGGGAGCCCCAUCGUGGAGUAAGUCUCCCAUCUAGGGCUGAGGAAGGAGACAGAGCCUGUACCCUGCAGUCUGCUACUGAACAUAGAUGGCCAAGCUGGUGCUGUGAGUGAGUGCAGAGGAACUGACCUGCCGAAGGCAGCAUGCAUGGGUCCCGUUCCCCUCCGCCCACCGACUGGCUUUGGAGUCUGACUAGUGUGUAAAGGGCACACUGUGUAGGCGCAAGCCAAUACCACCUCCUGUUCUGCACAAAGCAGCCCGGCAGCCUCCGGGUCCUUACCUAGGCCUUUCUGUGGGGCUGGGGAGCGGAACUCCAUGAGGUAGCUCAGGUAGGGCUUCUCCGUGCUGAUCUCAUAGUACCGGAUGUUUCCAUCCCCCUGAAGGUAGCAGAGAGGCAAUGAGAAUAGAGGGCAGGGUCCAGCAGACCUAGACCCAAGGUGCUACAGAAGAGAGCUGCCCUUGUGCCUCCAAGGUGGCUAGGAGAUGAAGAGACCUGUACUUUAGGCUGGGUAGCUCUACUAGGGGCAGGGGUGGAUAUGGGAUGGUAUGUAUACGCUAUGUACUCACAGUGUGUGUCUGUAUGGUGCAUGGGAUUUGUGUGAUGUGUGCAUAGCAUGUGUGCAGUGUAGCAUGUUUGUAUAGUGUGUAUAUGCUGUGAUGUAUAUGGUGCAAUGUGUAUGGUAUGUGUGUGAUAUUGUAUGUAUAUAUGGUAUGGUAUGUGUAGGUGUGGUGCAUAGUUUGUGUGCAUUGUAGUAUAUAUUAUAGUCUGCAUAAUGUGUAUGUAUGCAAUGUGGUAGGUAUGUAUAGUCUAUGUAACAUGUAUGUAUGGUGUGGUAUGUGGCAUAUAUGGGUGGCAUCAUGUGCGUUAUGUGUGCAGUGUACUAUGUAUAUAUGGUCUCUGGUGCAUAUGAAUGGUGCAGUCAGUAUAUGUGGUAUGUAUGUGGUAUGUACAUUAUAUGUUCAGUGUGGUGUUUGGUGUGAUGUGUGUGGUGUGGUUGGUUUUUGUCAUGUCCAUACAGCCUUUCUAAUGAAGCCAUAUUCAAAGAUCUCCUGACUGGUGCUUCAUCUUCUGCCAUUGGUUACUGACUACAUGACAGGCUUAGUUCUUUAUUUCUCCACUCGGGCUUGUCCUGUAAGGAGUUCUCAGUCACUGACACUUCAGCAAGAGUGACAGAGGUGUAGGUGGAAGUGUUGAGAGCCAGGGGCUGGGCUGGCUCAUGGGAAGCCACAAAGAUUAGGUUGGUUUUCUUAGGGAUAAGGCGAGAGUGAUGUUCUAAUGGGGACCGGAAUCUCCCAUUAACUGACAGUCCCGCCCUCACCCCACUACCUUUCCAGCCAGGUAGAGCAUGUGGGUGUCAGCAUCAUAGAAUGGGAACAGGAGGCCUGAGAGUCCAUCAAUUUCUUCCUCGAUCAUUGGCAUGGACAGAUCCUCCUGUAGGGAGGAGGGUGGUGUGGGUUAGGCUGUAUCCAGGAGGAGAGCAUGGCUCCUUCCCAAAUCCCAGCAGAGCCACCAGAGCUCCAGCCCCCUCCAGCAGAGGGCCCAAGCACCGACCUCAUUCUACUCUUGCCCUAUCUGGACUCAGAGACUCAGGAGCUCAGAUAUAGGCGGCUGUCCCUCCCCGCCCUCCUGCUGGCAUCCCAGUGUCUGACCUGGUCCCAGAGGGCAAUCUGUCUGGUGUUCCACCUGGAGACCCCUGUCGUGAGGAGCCGCUUCAUGUUGCCCAGGAACACUACCCGGUUCACUCUGUGGUUUUUGCAGUUUGCCUCCUGGAGGGGACAGAGACCAUAGGUGAGUCAGGGCCCUCAGUAUGUAACUCUGUAGAGAGCUGAAUGAAAUGGUGGUUCUUCCAAAACCCUUGUCCCAGUUAGAGGGUGCUGUGCUGCCCCCUGAUUUAGAUAAAAACGAUCCUUGCAUAUGUAAUUUGGCUAUGAAUUGUGAGGGGGGGGGGAGAUGACACAACCUUGGAGGCAGGGACAGCCACAGGCCAGCGGGCCAGCAUGCCAGCAGCCCCUCCAGAAGCUAGAAGAAGCAAACGCAAGUCUGGAAUCUAGCAUUUGGUAAGUUGAGGCAGGAGGAGUACAAGUUCUAGGCCAGCAUAGACUACAUAGAGCUCUACAGCGAGAUCCUGUUUCAAGAAACCAAAAGAAGAGUUAGAGAGAUGGCUCCACUGAUAAUGUGCUUGCCGUGCAUGCAGGGGUCCUGAGUUUGAUCUCUGCAAAACCAUAUUAAAAGGGGGGGGGGGGAGUCAGCAAAGGCACUUGCCUCAGAGCCUGAAGCCCUGAGUCAGAUCCCACGAACCUAUAAGGUAGAAGAAAAGAACUAAUGUCUUUGAGUUGUCCCCUGAUCUCCUCCAUGUGUGAGCUCCUCCUCUAACACACACACAAUUAAUAAAUGUAGAUUAUUUUCAAAAAUUAAAAAGCUGGGUGGUGGGCUUUGUAAUCCCAGCACUAGAAGGUAGAAACAAGAGGGCCCUUGGGCCUCCUGGCCAGCCGGCUUAGCUGCAUCAGUGAGGGUGGGUUCAGUGAGAGACCCUGCCUCAGAAAAAUGAAGAAGACACCUGCCAUCGGCCUCUGGCAUCCACAUGUCCAUGUGAAGUCAUGUACAAGCAAGAACCGAGUCUCCUCUAAAAUCUUUGGAGGGAGAGCAGCCUACAGACGCAUCCACUUGGGACUCCUGGAUCCCCCAUCAGAAAGACCCAGGUUCUGUUGCGUGAGGCCACUUAGCUUAAGGACAUUAGUUACAGUAGCCGCAGGACACAAACACAGUUGUCUUCCAGCACAGAGCCCUGGGAUUCAGGAACCCAGGGCCUUGUGUGAUCCAGAGCAGCGGAAACAGGGAAGGGCCGGGUUAUCCUUCACUAAUCCCUCAGGGGCCUUCGUUUAACCCAUGAAACAUAUCCUGGAAACAUGUCCCCCAACCCCAUUUCCCUGCCUCAGUCUUCAAGGCUGAGAUUCCAGGCAUGUGCCAUCCUACCAUCCCCCACACUUUCAGACAGUGCUGGGGAUCAAACUCAGGACUCUGUGUGUGGUAGGUGAGCUCCUUAUCAACUGCUUCCCUUAAUUAAGUGUCCUCAGUCCCCUGUCCUGCCCAUCCGUAUUUUCCGUCCUCCAGAGCCUUGUGGUUGCCAUGUAGUAAGAACUCGGGAAACAAUUACGGCUAUUGCUGAAUCCCUUUAAUCUGAGUCUCGGGGAGUAACCUCCCACCAGCCUCCCCGCAUGGAGCUAUCUGUGGACCUGGAAUCAUGUGCCUUUUGCCACAGGCACAUCCUGUGCAUGUGGCUGGGCAGUGAGUCCAAGGUCCCCUCCCUUGGACCCAUGAUAGGACUUGGUAGACCCCAGGGACUCAGGAACUGAAGGUCCAUUGCAAGAAGUAGAAGAAUCCUCUUUGGAGGAGACGUCACCAUGGUGGCAGAAAAGAGGGCUGAGAAUGGCCCUGAGCCGAUAGGCUGAUCCAAAGGCAUGGGUGAGAUGAGGGUACAGGGCCCCAGCACAGCCCGUUUCCUCCAUAGACUCCAGCACGUCCUCCCCCUCAACAAAACGUAAGGCUCCACCUGCAGAACACGGCCAGAGCGGGGCUCAAUCACGCGAAGCUUCUUGUCUUUGCACGUGGUGGUGAGCAGGCUGCCGUCUGUGUUGAAGGACAUGCAGAGGAUCACAUCUGUGUGACAGUCAAUCAUUUUCACUGGCUCUCCUAUGUCCAGGUUCCAGAUGAGGACCUGUGAAAGCAGGAGGUAAACUCAUUGGCUGCUGUGGUCCUGGGUACCUGUUCUCCAUUCUCACCAAUAGCCCUGGGAGGAGCUGUCUGCACAAGGCCUGGGCUACAUGGGGCUACAGGCUCAUUGUCAAGGGUUCUGUACAGAAAGGCAGAUGCUUGGCAACUACACACCGAUAUUCAUAUCAACUGUCACCUAGACAGAAGUUAAAGUCACCUAGAAGACAAUGGUCUGGAAGUGUCUGUGAGGGAGUGUCUGGACUGUGUUGACUGAGACAAGAAGACCUAAAUAUGGGCGGCACCUCUCUGUGGACGGCUAAGCACCAGCAGUCAUGUCUCUGCUUCCUGACCAUGGAGCAGUGUGACUGGCUGUCUCGUGGGCCUGCCAUCUUGGCAGACUAUACCCUCCCACUGUGAGUCAAGAUGACCCUUCCUUAAGCUGCUUCUUGUUGAGUAUUUGGUCACAGCAACCAGAAAAAUAACCAACACACACAUGAUCCCCUGAGAGCCUCCGACAGGUCCCAGUCUUGACUCGGUUUCUUUAAGAAAUAAGGAGAGACACCCCAAGACUGGCCCCAGGUGGCUGGCAUGAUAGGAUUUGGGGUUGCAGUUUCCCCUGCAGCCCUGCAGCUCUGGUUGCUCAAUUUCCCUACUAGGAAGGCACAAUCAUCUCUUGGUUAGGAAGUUACCAGACAAAGGUUAUGGGCACUGUGGUCUUCCAGUCCACUAAACUCCAGAGAGGAUAGGAAAGAUGCCUUAAGUCCCCAAGACCCCCAGGAAAAAUUUGUGCGCAGGAGAUGGUCGGUCUUGUGUAGAGCAUGAAUGAAUGAUCGAAUGAAUGAAUGACCAAAUGGGCCCAUGACAGUCAACGUGCUUAGACUAUCCCCUGCUCUCCUCUCCCCCACCGUCCCCCACCGAGCCAGCUCUACCCAGGUUGCCCACACCUGGGCCCCGUACCUUGUAGUCAUAGCCAGCACUGAACAGAAUGUUGUUAGUUGUGGGGUGCCACUCAACCAGCCCCACACGGCGGCUGUGUCCGUGGAGCUCCAGGAGAGCCUCGGUCAUGUUCCGCUUCAGCCCGCCCUCAGGGAUCUCCCAGAUCCGCACCUGCAGAGGGGAGAGGCUUGGUUUUAGUUGGACAGGCAGGGGCAGGGAGUGCCACAGACCCGAGGGAGGAGCCAGUGCUAGACGGGCAGAAAGCUCCCUCUUUUGGCUACAGGUGUUCUCUGCCAAAUAACCCCAGACAAUGAACACUGUUUUCAGUUGUUUUUGUUUUGUUUUUUGAACAGGAUCUAAUGUAGCUCAAGAUGACCUGAAACUUCUUGUCUUGCCUCCACUUCUGGAGUGUUUAGAUCACAGGAAUGAGCCACCAUGACUUGUUUUAGCACACCUGCUUUAUAGGAUGCUGGGGGUCGAACUCAGCUGUGAGGUGCUGUAUACAGAUAGCUAUAGAAUUAUGAUGAGAAGUGGGACCCCUCCCCUCUGUGUGUGUGUGUGCAUAUGUGUGUAUGUAUGUGUAUGUAGGUGUGUGUGUGUAUGUGUGUGUAUAUGUGUGUGUGCAUGUGUGUCUACGUAUGCGUAUGUAGGUGUGUGUGCAUGUGUAUGUAUGUGUAUGUGUGUAUAUGUGUGUGCAUGUGUGUCUAUGUAUGUGUGUGUAUGUAGGUGUGUGCAUGUGUGUCUAUGUGUGUGUGCAUGUGUGUAUAUGUGUGUGCAUGUGUGUCUAUGUAUGUGUGUGUAUGCAUGUGUGUAUGUGUGUGUAUGUAGGUGUGUAUGUGUGUGUAUAUGUGUGUGUGCAUGUGUGUCUAUGUAUGUGUAUGUGUAUGUAGGUAUAUGUGCAUGUGUAUGUAUGUGCAUGUGUGUGUAUGCAUAUGUAUGUAUGUGUAUGUAGGUGUGUGUGCAUGUGUGUGUAUGUGUGCGUGUGUGUGUGUGUGCGUGUAUGUGUGUGUAUGUAGGUGUGUAUGUGUGUGUAUAUGUGUGUGUGCAUGUGUGUCUAUGUAUGUGUAUGUGUAUGUAGGUAUAUGUGCAUGUGUAUGUAUGUGCAUGUGUGUGUAUGCAUAUGUAUGUAUGUGUAUGUAGGUGUGUGUGCAUGUGUGUGUAUGUGUGCGUGUGUGUGUGUGUGUGCGUGUAUGUGUGUGUAUGUAGGUGUGUGUACAAUGCUCAAGAAAGCCAGCCUAUGGCACUGGAUCACCUGGAGUUGGACUUACAGCAGUUGACGUGGUGGGUGCUAGGAACCAAACUUGGAUCCUCUGGAAGAGAAGUAAGCACACGUAACUAACCACUGAGCCAUCUCUCAAGACCCUUAUAUGAUAUUCUGUGAUCUACUGUGGCAGUGUGAAUGAGAAUGUCCCCAUAGGCUCUGUAUUUGAACAUUUUGUCCCUAGUUCUUGUUGGAGGAAGUAAGCCAUUGGUCUCUCUCUCUCUCUCUCUCUCUCUCUCUCUCUCUCUCUCUCUCUCUCUCUCCCUCUCUCUCUCUCUCUCUCUCUUUCUUUCUUCUUUUCUUUUUUGAGACAGGGUUUCUCUGUAUAGCCCUGGCUGUCCUGGAACUUGCUCUAUAGACCAGGCUGGCCUCAAACUCAAGAGAUCUGCCUGUCUCUGCCUACCAAGUGCUGGGAUGAAAGGUGUGUAACACCACCACCCAGCUAGGGCUUCAAGUGUCUAAAGAUUCUCUAUUUCUAGUUGACCCCCUGCUUCAUGCUUACGGUGAAGGACAUAAACCCUCAGCCUCCAAUGCUGCCGACAUGCCUCCCUACGGUGUGGACUCUUAUCCUCUGGAACGUUUCAGGAAAUCAGCCUACUUGAGAACAAGUUUCUUCACUGGGAGUUCCUUGGUGGCUCUAGCCCACCACCCACCACCCACCACCCACCACCCACCACCUACCACCACCUGCUGGUGUGCAAGAGCGACAUGGAGAGGGACCUGGCACGACCUUCUGCCUUCCAACAGUGCAAGGCCCGUGGAGUGAGGAUUAGUUUAGAAAUAGUGGGGACAGGACUUGGGGUGAUGACCAGGAAGACACACAUUUCUUUCACCCCCAAUUGAGAAGACUAAUGCUUAGAUUAGACAUGUGCACAAUACAUACACACACACUUUCUUCUUUUGUUCCAAAAAGCUACUAUUAUGCAUGUUUAUGGCUUAUUUAUUUUUAUGUGACUACAGGUAUGAGUAUCUUUAUAUAUUACUAUGUACAGAUAUGCCAUAUAUAUGUACAUACAUGUAUAAGAAUAUAUGAGACAUAUGUAAGAAAUAAAUUAUAUAUAUUUAUAUGUACUUAUUCAUGUAAUUUGAAUGCAUAUACAUGUUCGUGUGUGUGUCUGUGCGUGUGUAUGUACAUGUGUGUGCAUGUGUAUUGAGGCUAAACCCACUCACUAGCUGAGUGACACUGGAUGAGCCAUUAAUCCUCUGAGGCUCUAGCUCUUGGUGUAGAAAGUCAGGGGAUCUGUGGGCUUUGCAGAGGCUUGUGGCUUAAAUCAAGCUGGAGUCAUGUGAACUGAGUUGUUAGAAUGGCAGCUGGUUUGUGCCUGGGGAACACCAGGGAGGUUGGACCCCAGCUCUAGCCUCUGGGAUUGAUUUAAACUUGAGAGAGAGAGAGAGAGAGAGAGAGAGAGAGAGAGAGAGAGAGAGAGAGAGGGAGGAGAGACAGAGACACAGAGACACACAGAGAGACAGAGACAGAGAGACAGACAGAGACAGAGACAGA